AUGUUCUCAUCCGUGGCGCCCCUGGUCCCAGCGAACGCCUUCAACGUGCCCACCUGCAGCUGGUGCACACAGGCCCCCGAGGUAGCCCUGCCACGCCCGCAGACCCACCCCACUGCACCCGACCUGGCCACAGCCGUGGUGGAAAAGAACAGUUGUGAAUUUGUCUCCAUGAAGUAUUAUGCUCUGUGUGGCGUUAGUGAGGUCUUAAGUUAUGGUCUAGACACAACUUGUCUUUCCCUUGGAUUUAGUGAAAUGCCGCAUGCAGGCGGACUCCCUAAAGUACAAGAGCAUAUUUAAUGGAUUUUCAGUUACACUUAAAGAGGUUGAUAUUUGAGGUUUAGCUAAAGGAUAGGACUCGACUUUCAUUGGCAACUCCAUGCGGGGGCUCUGCAAGUUUGGCUUUUAUGAAGUCUUUAAGGCCUUAUUCAGCAACAUGCUUGGAGAACUCUGGGCCACAUCACUGCAUCUGGCUGCCUCUGCCAGUGCUGAAUUCUUUGCUGACAUUGGAAGCUGCUAAGGUUCGAAUUCAAAUCCAGCCAGGUUAUGCCAACACUUUGAGGAAUGCAGCUCCCAAAAUGUAUAAGGAAGAAGCUCUAAAUGCAUUCUAUAAGGGGAUUGCUUCUCUCUGGAUGAGACAGAUACCAUACACCAUGAUGAUGUUUUCCUGCUUUGAACGUACUGUGGAAGCACUGUGCAAGUUUGUGGUUCCUAAGCCCCACAGUGAAUGUACAAAGGCAGAGCAGCUGUUUGUAAAAUUUGUGGUGGGUUACAUGGCUGGAGUCUUUUGUGCAAUUGUUUCUCACUUUGCUGAUUCUGUGAUAUCUGUGUUGAAUAAAGAGAAAGGAAGCAGUGCUUCCCAAGUCCUCCAGAGACUGACUUGGAUUUAAAGGUGUGUGGAAAGAACUGUUUGCCCAUAUAAUCAUGAUUGGCACUCUGCACUGUAGGGGUUCAUCUAUGACUUUGUGAAGGUCUACUUCAGGCUCCCUUGCCUUACUCCACCAGAGAUGUCAGAGUCUCUAAAGAAGAAACUUGGUUUAACUCAGUAGACAGAUCAAAGCAAUUGUGGACUGAAUCUGCUUAUUGAUCAGUGUUGAAGAAAGUGUAAAAGGAACUUUUAUAUAUUUGACAGCAUAGGAAAUUAUCUAUUCCUGAUAUAAUUACUAUAGUAUUCUUGCUUAAGACAAGAGUUUCAAAUUUACUGUUGAAAAAAACCCAACUGUUCAUAAAAAAAAAAAAAAAA